GAUGAAGAGCGCAGCGAAAUGCGAUAAGUAAUGUGAAUUGCAGAAUUCAGUGAAUCAUCGAAUCUUUGAACGCACCUUGCGCCCCUUGGUUAUUCCAAAGGGCAUGCCUGUUUGAGUAUCAUGAACACCUCAACUCUUGUGGUUUCCCACAAUGAGCUUGGACUGUGGAGGUUUUGUUGGCCCUGUGGUCAGCUCCUCUCAAAUGGAUCAGCUUACCGGUGUUUGGUGGCAUUACGGGUGUGAUAACUAUCUACGCUCGUGGUCGUCUCCAAAUAACCUCCAGUGAUGGAGGUUCGCUGGAGCUUAUAAAUGUCUCUCCCCAGUGAAGACAGCCUUUGAACGUUCGAUCUCAAAUCAGGUAGGACUACCCGCUGAACUUAAGCAUAUCAAUAAGCGGAGGA
rnacentral:misc_RNA from 1 species